UUUAGUCAGUAAAUAUUAAGAAUUAUAUAAGUGUUUUGUUUUGUGCCAUGUAAUGAACCUGUACUAAGACCUAGCAGAAUUGUACUGUCUCAAGGAACAGCAAAUCAGAAGAAAGCUCCUCUCUUUAUCUUUUUACUCUUCCAAGUGGUUGUCUUUCCUAUUGAAGCUUCUUCUGUACUUUGAAGAUUUUUUUGAACGAAUGCAUCACUUCAGUAUUAGCAUAGAUAUUUAGUCUGUCAAAGGGAGUGGAUACAAGUCCAGAUCAAUCUUUGUUUCUUUUUAAAGGUAACUGUAUUCACAUUCUUUCUUUUGUUUUAAAGGGGCUCAGCCACUAAGGGUUUGGAAUCUGCUGGAAAUUUGCUCCAGCUUCCCAAUGCUAGGAUGUGCAAGAUUUGUGGAGAGACUGCAGGAGUGGCUGAGGGAAAAGGACAUUUUUUCUGCAAACAAAUGAGUCUGAGUUUAAUAAUGAAGCAGAAAUGAAUUUUGUAAAGGAAACUGGAAACGUGGAGUGUGGACCUUGCAAAGCAAUUCUAGGAGACCAUGGGAUUGAAUUAACUCCAUGAGGCACUGGCUGGAGGGGACUUUGGCAGAAUCACUGGGGAAUUCCAUGUAAUUAAAGAAGAAAAGAUCUAUAACAUGUUUUGAAUGAACUUUUAACUGUGAUAUGUAAACUCUAAACUCUUUACCUCACCCUAGGGCUUGCCUCAUUUACAGAUUCAGUAAGGGCGCCCUCUGUUCUAGUGUUCAAAUUCUAAGUUCUUUGAUAGCUUGUGUACAUGUUUUCAGACAUGUUUUGUCUAAACUAUGGUUUUAGCUACACCACCAUUUCCUAACUCACCUUUACUAAAGCUGUCUAAAAUGUUGCUAGAUUCUAGCAAAAGGCAAAAUAAAUGACAUCCACUGCCCCUCCAAGACCACGCACAUGCCCAUGAGUUCUAUCAUAGAUGAAAACGAAGUUAAUGUGACCAGCUUUUACCUUGGCAGCCCAGCUUGGCGUUUGCUCACAUACUGCACACCUUUCAAGAGCUUUUUUAUUUCAGAGGCAUGGCUAAUCCAUUAUUUUUGGCAUCUCCUCAGUACUAUGUUCUGUUUUUAAGAGCUUAUGGCUCUUGAUUAUGCCCAUGUGGCUCUGGGCAGCCUGCUCACAGCACAGAGGUUGAAACUAGAUGAUCAUUAUGGUCCUUUUCCACCCAGGCCAUUCUAUGAUUCACUUUUCUCCUGGUUUUUGUUUUCAUUGAAAUAUCACUCAUUCUCUAUUUGCAAGUGCCCCAUGUUCACCAGAGUAAAUCCUUUAGACCUAGUGGACUGAAACCAUCUUCUUUGUAUUUUUUUACUUCCUCUUUUUGAAUUCUUAUUUAAACAUUUAUUCUUCUAUCACUGAUUUUAAUUGUCAUAAGCAACAUUAAUUAUUAGCUUUUUCUCCUAAAGGCUGACUGAAAUGAAUUUUAGAUCAGAUUGGCUGUUCAGAAGAGAACGUUUGUGGCUUUUUUGUUUGUUUCUGUGUAUCAGUGAGUCAGAACAGCUUAACUGCAAAUGUGAGAAAUUGCUGUGGAAGAGCAGCAUUUAUUGCAGGACACUAAAUGACUGCCCUCAAGUGGCAAAAUGAGAGCAGUACCACUCGCUAUAUUUCUGUACGUCUGUAUGUAGAAAAAAGCCCAAGGAUUUAAACUGAAAUAUUAUUCAGGGAUUGAUACCUCAGCUUCCUUUUUGAAAGUAAGGGGUAGGCCUGCAUUUCUGAACGGCUGGGUUCCAUGCAAAAGCUGAUGCUUCUCACAUAGGCAGUGUUAUUUUCUUGAUAUGUUUUUUUUCUGUGCAAUUUUGGUUCCUUUUAUACAGUUUAUCAAGUUAAUUUUAAAAUUCUCAUUUACUUCAGUGAUUAAGAACUGUGCAAUCCUAAUAUUGAUUAAGAAAGAAGUCUUAAGAAUAUUAAUGUUUGACUUUGGAUAUUCCUACAUUCUCUUUAUUGACACUGGAAAUUCGGAGCGAGUAGCCAACAGUCAAUUUUUUUUUUCUCAUUUUUGUUAUAUCUUCUACAAUAACAAAGGCUUUAUACUACUGAAGAAAAAUAAUUUUCUCAUUGUAGCGGCACUUCAUGCUCUGUUCUCAGAACUUCAUUCAGGCAGGUUUGAAGCACUGAAAAGCAGGCAAACAAAAAAUGUACCCCUCUUUAUCUUCCUCAUCCUCCCGUUCUGGAGCUGCUGUGAUGCAAAGUCAAACUAUAAUCUAGCAUUAAUAGCAAAGUGAAUAGAAAAUUCAGGCAAGGCAUAUUGAAAAG
ensembl:lncRNA